rnacentral:rRNA from 1 species
GAUGAACGCUGGCGGCGUGCCUAAUACAUGCAAGUCGAGCGAAUGGAUUAAGAGCUUGCUCUUAUGAAGUUAGCGGCGGACGGGUGAGUAACACGUGGGUAACCUGCCCAUAAGACUGGGAUAACUCCGGGAAACCGGGGCUAAUACCGGAUAAUAUUUUGAACUGCAUGGUUCAAAAUUGAAAGGCGGCUUCGGCUGUCACCUAUGGAUGGACCCGCGGCGCAUUAGCGAGUUGGGGAGGUAACGGCUCACCAAGGCAACGAUGCGUAGCCGACCUGAGAGGGUGAUCGGCCACACUGGGACUGAGACACGGCCCAGACUCCUACGGGAGGCAGCAGUAGGGAAUCUUCCGCAAUGGACGAAAGUCUGACGGAGCAACGCCGCGUGAGUGAUGAAGGCUUUCGGGUCGUAAAACUCUGUUGUUAGGGAAGAACAAGUGCUAGUUGAAUAAGCUGGCACCUUGACGGUACCUAACCAGAAAGCCACGGCUAACUACGUGCCAGCCGCCGCCGUAA